GACGAACGCUGGCGGCGUGCUUAACACAUGCAAGUCGAACGGAAAGGCCCUGCUUUUGUGGGGUGCUCGAGUGGCGAACGGGUGAGUAACACGUGAGUAACCUGCCCUUGACUUUGGGAUAACUUCAGGAAACUGGGGCUAAUACCUGAUAGGAGCUCCUGCUGCAUGGUGGGGGUUGGAAAGUUUCGGCGGUUGGGGAUGGACUUGGGGCUUAUCAGCUUGUUGGUGGGGUAGUGGCUUACCAAGGCUUUGACGGAUAGCCGGCCUGAGAGGGUGACCGGCCACAUUGGGACUGAGAUACGGCGCAGACGGCUACGGGAGGCAGCAGUGGGGAAUAUUGCACAAUGGGCGGAAGCCUGAUGCAGAAACGCCGCGUGCGGGAUGACGGCCUUCGGGUUGUAAACCGCUUUCGCCUGUGACGAAGCGUGAGUGACGGUAAUGGGUAAAGAAGCACCGGCUAACUACGUG
rnacentral:rRNA from 1 species